GACUCUCGACAAUGGAUAUCUUGAUCCUUGCAUUGAUGAAGAACCUAGCGAAAUGUGAUACCUGGUGUGAAUUGCAGAAUCCCACAAACCAUCGAGUCUUUGAAUGCAAGUUAUGCCCGAGGCCACUCGACCGAGGGCAUGCCUACCUCGGCGUCA